AUCACAACAUCUUUUUAGGGCUGAAAGCUGCAGAUGCUGAUCAGCAACUGUUGGGUUGUGCUCUCGAUUGUUUCUCACACCAACACCUAGUGUUACUUCCUCAUACAGUUAUGUUUUCUGAAUAUCUUGCAGAGCAUUAUGCAGCCUUGGUUUGUACAUUGAUAGGAGUGCCGGGUUACGGUGUGUAUAUGAGGAAGAAGAGUGACCCCCUCCUUUCGGCUCUGGCAUCUCAGGAAUGUGUAGUUUGCCCAGCACUAUUCACACAACAGUGCUGACUAAUGAAUGCCACAGAUCAGCAGUUUGAUGAGGACGACACUGCAUGGAAGUGAUGAAGGUCCUGAAGGCAUUGUACAGAGCAGAGCUACAUCAUCAAUCCUGUCAGUGAUCACUCACCGGCUAAUUACUUUAAUGGGGGUCAAGUGUAUUGGACAAAGGUGGUGAAGAGGAGGGAGAUAAUUUAUUGUAAAAAACAUCCUGGCCUGUUUCAUCACACGUCGUAAAACAAGAUUUUACUGCCUAAAACCCUGUCAUAUGAGAAUGUGAAGCUCAGCUCUUGAGGUUACUAAUCUUGCACCAUUAAAUGCCUAAAAUCUC